GGAUUGGAAAUGGGCGCAGCCUGAUCCAGCCAUCCCGCGUGAGNGAAGAAGGCCUUCGGGUUGUCAAGCUCUUUCGGCUGGGACGAAAAGGUCCGUGCUAACACCACGGAUCAAUGACGGUACCAGCAGAAGAAGCACCGGCUAACUACGUGCCAGCAGCCGCGGUAAUACGUAGGGUGCAGGCGUUAAUCGGAAUUACUGGGCGUAAAGCGUGCGCAGGCGGUUUGCUAAGACAGGUGUGAAAUCCCCGGGCUUAACCUGGGAACUGCGCUCGUAACUGGCAAGCUUGAGUGUGGCAGAGGGGGGUGGAAUUCCACGUGUAGCAGUGAGAUGCGUAGAGAUGUGGAGGAACACCGAUGGCGAAGGCAGCCCCCUGGGCUAACACUGACGCUCAUGCACGAAAGCGUGGGGAGCAAACAGGAUUAGAUACCCUGGUAGUCCACGCCCUAAACUAUGUCAACUGGUUGUCGGGGAAGCAAUUCCUUGGUAACGAAGCUAACGCGUGAAGUUGACCGCCUGGGGAGUACGGCCGCAAGGUUAAAACUCAAAGAAAUUGACGGA
rnacentral:rRNA from 1 species